rnacentral:rRNA from 2 species
UGAGGAAUAUUGGUCAAUGGACGAGAGUCUGAACCAGCCAAGUAGCGUGAAGGAUGACUGCCCUAUGGGUUGUAAACUUCUUUUAUAAGGGAAUAAAGUGAGGGACGUGUCCCUUUUUGUAUGUACCUUAUGAAUAAGGAUCGGCUAACUCCGUGCCAGCAGCCGCGGUAAUACGGAGGAUCCAAGCGUUAUCCGGAUUUAUUGGGUUUAAAGGGAGCGUAGGUUGACAUAUAAGUCAGCUGUGAAAGUUUACGGCUCAACCGUGAAAUUGCAGUUGAUACUGUAUGUCUUGAGUGUACAAGAGGUGGGCGGAAUGCGUGGUGUAGCGGUGAAAUGCUUAGAUAUCACGAAGAACUCCAAUUGCGAAGGCAGCUUACUAAGCUACUACUGACGCUCAGGCACGAAGGCGUGGGGAUCAAACAGG